CUUGCAAACUAAAUAGUCGCCCUUAAAUGGGAGGAAAGUCCGAACACUUACUUCACGAAAGUGAUUUAAAACGGUAGCGGGUAAUCCCCGUCUGCAGUGAUGCAAGAGGUGCGAACAGAGACGUCUUCGUCCGAAAGGACAAGGAAGCUAAACCCAAAAUUCUUGAUUCAUCAGGAGUUAUAGCUUAGUCCCAGCCGGGGUUAAAGGUUGGGAGUGAAACGGCUAAAUCCUUACUGGAGCGCAAGGCCAAACUCGCCCCAUCGGCGAGUACAAGUAGGCCGCUUGAGCCUGUCAGCAAUGGCAGGCCUAGAUAAAUGACUAUUCUCGACAGAAUUCGGCUUAUUGUUUGCAAGGUAU
rnacentral:RNase_P_RNA from 7 species